rnacentral:rRNA from 1 species
AGCAGCCGCGGUAAUUCCAGCUCCAAUAGCGUAUAUUAAAGUUGUUGCAGUUAAAAAGCUCGUAGUUGAAUUUCGGGGUCAAUACGUCGGUCGUGCUUCGGUACGCACUAACGUUAUUGAUUCCUCCCUCCUGACGAACCGUGAUGUCAUUAAUUUGGUGUUACGGGGAAUCAGGACUGUUACCUUGAAAAAAUUAGAGUGUUUAAAGCAGGCAAUCGCUCGAAUACAUUAGCAUGGAAUAAUGAAAUAGGACGUUUGAACCUAUUUUGUUGGUUUCUAGGAUCGACGUAAUGAUUAAUAGGGAUAGUUGGGGGCAUUAGUAUUCAAUUGUCAGAGGUGAAAUUCUUGGAUUUAUUGAAGACUAACUACUGCGAAAGCAUUUGCCAAGGAUGUUUUCAUUAAUCAAGAACGAAAGUUAGGGGAUCGAAGACGAUCAGAUACCGUCGUAGUCUUAACCAUAAACUAUGCCGACUAGGGAUCGGAUGAUGUUAAUUUUUUAAUGACUCAUUCGGCGCCUUACG